UCCUGUUCUAUUCUCCGAGCCUGCGAUUCUAUCGGCAAUGAAUGCUAUGAUGACCAGGUCUAAGGGUUCAUUGGGAAACGAAUGAGCCUUCCAUUGUGAAAAGGAGAUGCUUGAGGUUAGGC
rnacentral:ncRNA from 2 species